rnacentral:misc_RNA from 1 species
CAAGAAGCCGAAGGCUACUUAAAACCAUCGCGAACUUAUCCAAGUUGCUUCGGCGGCGCGGCUCCCCUCACGGGGGACCGCAGCCCCCGCCUCUCAGGAGGUAAGGGGCAGCCGCCGGAGGUACGAAACUCUGUAUUAUAGUGGUAUCUCUGAGUAUAAAACAAAUAAGUUA